rnacentral:rRNA from 1 species
CCUACGGGCGGCAGCAGUGGGGAAUAUUGGACAAUGGGCGAAAGCCUGAUCCAGCCAUGCCGCGUGUGUGAAGAAGGCCUUCGGGUUGUAAAGCACUUUCAGUGGGGAAGAAAGCCUUGGGGCUAAUACCCUCGAGGAAGGACAUCACCCACAGAAGAAGCACCGGCUAACUCCGUGCCAGCAGCCGCGGUAAUACGGAGGGUGCGAGCGUUAAUCGGAAUUACUGGGCGUAAAGCGCGCGUAGGCGGUCUGAUAAGCCGGUGUGAAAGCCCCGGGCUCAACCUGGGAACGGCAUCCGGAACUGUCAGGCUAGAGUGCAGGAGAGGAAGGUAGAAUUCCCGGUGUAGCAGUGAAAUGCGUAGAGAUCGGGAGGAAUACCAGUGGCGAAGGCGGCCUUCUGGACUGACACUGACGCUGAGGUGCGAAAGCGUGGGUAGCGAACAGGAUUAGAUACCCUGGUAGUC